rnacentral:lncRNA from 1 species
AUGGGGCUGCUUCAUCCUAUCAAGGAACGCAGGUUCCUACAAAAAGCGGAGAUGAGGAUGGGAUGUGCAACAACUUUGCAUGUGAAGACUCAUCCAUUGCUGUACUUCAGUAGUUCUGAUAGUUGUCAAGGAGUUCAGGCCUUUAAAACAGAAAACAACCAUGGGGACAAGAAGAGCAAUGAUCAGGAAUAACAUAUGCUGGCUAUGCCUGGCAUGUGCCACAACUCACAGUCACAAAUAGCUUGUAUGGCUGAGAGCAAGCCAAAGUCUCUGUUAGCCUCACUUCCUGCAUAGGUGUAAAUUUUUCCUUCUGGAGAUCCCUAGUUUUUCCCCGGAGUUAUCUGUGAAAAAUGGAUAUAAUCA